rnacentral:rRNA from 1 species
CCGACUUACGUUGAAAAGUGAGCGGAUGAACUGAGGGUAGCGGAGAAAUUCCAAUCGAACCUGGAGAUAGCUGGUUCUCUCCGAAAUAGCUUUAGGGCUAGCCUCAAGUGAUGAUUAUUGGAGGUAGAGCACUGUUUGGACGAGGGGCCCCUCUCGGGUUACCGAAUUCAGACAAACUCCGAAUGCCAAUUAAUUUAACUUGGGAGUCAGAACAUGGGUGAUAAGGUCCGUGUUCGAAAGGGAAACAGCCCAGACCACCAGCUAAGGUCCCAAAAUAUAUG